CAUAAACAGCAGUUGGGGCUCAGGUACACAUUUGUCAGAAACUGUAACUGAACCUACUUAUUUAAAAAAGCAUAUGCUUCAGAGGUUUUUACAAAUGUCUACUUACUAUGAAAAAUCGCUGCGCAGGUGAUGCUGGAGUUGAUCUCAGACACCACUCCAGUUCAAGGUUGAAAUAAGGAAAUCCUUUUAAGGCCUAGAAGAAGGAGGAUUCAACAAGCACCUCGGCUGACAUUUUCCAUCCAUGCUGGAAGAAAGACAGGAGGGCCAUGGAUGUAGUCUUAUUAGGCUGCAACUAUAUUCACCUAUAAUAUCUGGGAAUAUUCAGCAACAAAUUGUUCAGUGCAGGGUGUUGGCUCCCUGCUGAUUCUGAUGUAGGAGCCCCUAAUUCCCCUUACUCAGCUCCUAUAAGGGAUGCUUUCCUUCAAACCUUUUUCCAAUCCAUUUUGUCUGAUAACUAUAGCCCUUCCCAGCUGAGUAUCUGCACUGGACAUCUGACACAAGUUUUAUGUAUAAUUUACAACAUUAUAACCUAACCCCCCUACUCCACCCCAUUGGGUCCUAGACCAGCUGUAGGGAAGGUGGGGGGAAAAAACAACAACAUCCCAGCUUGGCCAAUCUGGUGGCGAGGGAAGCCUCUCAAGGAACCGGGGCAGCUAGUGUAAUGUCCACAGCUGAUCACAAGGGAACCUGGUCCUUUUGCCAAGUGCAUGAAUGGGUGAGUGCUGCCAACUUAAUCCUUGUAUAGAGGGCCUCUCCAUGGCUGCAUGGGGUAUAAAUUGGGUUGACAACCCUCCUGUUUUUGCUGGGAGUUUUCCAGAAUCGGGCUCUAUCUCCCAGAGGCUACAGAAGCUAAACCGGGAGAUUUUAGGCCGCAAAAGUCUGGCGGUGCAGUGGGGCUAAGGCAGGCUCCCUGCCUGCACCAGCCCCGUGCUGCUCCCAGAAGCAGUUGGCAUGUACCUGUAGCCUUAGUCCCUCACCACCGACUGGGAGCUGCACGAGGUAAGCACUGCCCGCACUCCACACCCUCUCCUGCACCCCAACCCCCUGCCCCAGCCCUGAGCCCCUUCCUGCACCCAAACUCCCUCCCAGAGCCCACACCCAC